AAUGAACGUUGGCGGCGUGGAUUAGGCAUGCAAGUCGAGCGAGAACCCCGCAAGGGGGGUCAGCGGCGAAAGGGACAGUAAUGUGUAGAUACACUGCCCUCAGGUCCGGGUUAGCUGCGGGAAACUGCAGGUAAUACCGGAUAACAUCUCCGGAUCAAAGGUAUGAUUCCGCCUGAGGAUGAGUCUGCAUCCUAUUAGCUAGUUGGUGGGGUAAUGGCCUACCAUGGCAUUGAUGAGUAGCAGGUGUGUGAGCACGACCUGCGUCAUUGGGGCUGCGACACUGCGCAGACACCUACGGGCAGCUGCAGGCGAGCAUCUUCGGCAGUGGGCGCAAGGCUGAACGAGCGACGCCGCGUGUGGGAUGAAGGCCGUCUGAUUGUAAUCCGCUGUCAGAGGGGAUGAAAUGCAGGUGGGUUCUCCCAUGUGUUUGACAUAGCCACAGAGAAAGGACCGGCUAAGUUCGUG
rnacentral:rRNA from 1 species